rnacentral:rRNA from 1 species
AACGAACGCUGGCGGCAUGCCUAACACAUGCAAGUCGAACGAACCCUUCGGGGUUAGUGGCGCACGGGUGCGUAACGCGUGGGAAUCUGCCCUUUGCUUCGGAAUAACUCAGGGAAACUUGUGCUAAUACCGGAUGAUGUCUUCGGACCAAAGAUUUAUCGGCAAGGGAUGAGCCCGCGUAGGAUUAGGUAGUUGGUGGGGUAAAGGCCUACCAAGCCGACGAUCCUUAGCUGGUCUGAGAGGAUGAUCAGCCACACUGGGACUGAGACACGGCCCAGACUCCUACGGGAGGCAGCAGUGGGGAAUAUUGGACAGUGGGCGCAAGCCUGAUCCAGCAAGGCCGCGUGAGUGAUGAAGGCCCUCGGGUCGUAAAGCUCUUUUACCAGGGAUGAUAAUGACAGUACCUGGAGAAUAAGCUCCGGCUAACUCCGUG